rfam:Agrilus planipennis Contig72814, whole genome shotgun sequence.
CCUCUUGUAGCUUAGUGGUGAGAGCAUUGGUGCGUGAAGCCAAAGGUCCCGGGUUCGAUUCCCGGCAAGGGUG